rnacentral:misc_RNA from 1 species
CAGGUAGCCGUACCGGAAGGUGCGGCUGGAUCACCUCCUUUCUAAGGAGCAUGUACCAGCCCUGCUGUUUACACAGGGAUCAUCUGGUCAAGUCAGUUCCGGAGCGAAUGUCUCUGGCUGGCGCUCAUGGGUGGAACAUUGACAAUGGUCGUUUUGUGACGGCGCAGUGCUUAGUACGAUCUCUUCGGAGGUGUGGAACGGUGUGGCGCACAAGCGAAACGGUAUGCACGCUGUUGGGUCCUGAGGGACCAAGCUUCCACGCUCUUCGGGGUGUGGGGUUUUACCUCUGGGCCAGGAAAGUCCUGCAUGUAUCGCAGGGUGAUUCUGGUGCCGCCCGUAUUUUGAGAACUACACAGUGGACGCGAGCAUCUUAGUCGCAAAUCAAGAGCCGGCCCUUUAGGGGGUUGGUGACCUAGGUUUGUGAUACUAAGUGCAAUUUCUUAGACCAACUCAGCCUUCGGGUUGGGUUGGCGAAUGAGAUAACACUGAGCUGCCAGCUUUGGCUGGUGGCAACUUUGUGGUCAAGUUUCUAAGAGCAAACGG